GUCAAAAGAAACAUCAAACAAGACUGCAGAACUGCAGAUCACGUUUCAGCACAAUCAACUACUUCCCUUUUCAGACAGACUCUUACCUUGCAAUCUGGGAGAAUCUUCUGAUCUCUGUUUUAGCAAUAGCAUUCCAGGUUAUCCCAUAUUUGUCCAAAGCUCUGCUAGAUCUACUGCAUCUCCCUUACAUGGAAAGACCCCAACUUCCUAACAAGAGAUGUAGCCACCUCCUGUCCACAGAAACAGUUUUUACUGAGAGUCUCAAUGUUUGAUCCUUAACUUGUUUGUUGGGCUGGAAAUGUGCCACAGGAAAUGAGGAUACGUGUAAAAGAACACAAUAAACCUUCAGAAAUACUGUGCCUGGAGGCUACAGACUUGAGCAUUACCAUCUAUUCUACCCCUCAAGUCUUGAAAACUUUUUUCCUGAGUUCCAAAGGCCCACUACAAGGAGGUAGGCUGCACUCCUGGAGCAAAUUCUGUUACACUUGUUGGUCAGCUGUCCAGCCCCACAAGCGUGCCUAUGCCACAGAGCAGCUAUUUCACCCAUUUUCCAGUUUUCAGUGCUGCUCAGAAUCACUCCUUGCUGAUAUGAAGCAGAGAUUAAAGACUCCCGAUGCUUUCCUUGCUGCCUGUAGCAGCGCAGUGUUUUAUUGCACCUCGAUUCUGUCUGAACUUCAGGACUGGGAAUGUGAUCUUCUGUGGCUAUCACUUUCCUUCACCUCCAAAGAGCAAGAAAAUUUUUCUUCUUCGUAAGAUACCUCCUCUGGCUUUUUCUUACGCUUUAUUCCUCUUUUUGAGAAGAUCCAGUAACAAGUUUUUGUAUUUGUUCAUUUUGAAAUGUAUCACUUAGGAUCUACAUUCCUUUGCAUCUUUUGCCUAGCAGUUCACCAUCUUCCAUUUCCCUUAUUUGUAGGAUAUCUCCUCAAACAUCAUUAGAGAGCUUGCGAGUAGAUUUCAAGCUGGAGGAAAGGAGGCCAGUUUGGGUAUCAGGGGACAGUCAUUAUGGCAAAAAAAAAAACACAAUCUAGCCCUUCAGGAAAAUUUCCUGGCAGCUGUUAGACCACCAACGCAUUGGCAGAAGCCUCAUAAAAACACGUCAGCAGUGAUUGAACAGAGCAUUCCUGUGCACGCAAUAGUGAAUGGCGAAAGGGACGCAGCACACUGCCUCCUCGGCCCUUCUAUCUCCCCAUUUUAGGAAGGCAGCUUACUCCAGCAUCACAGUUGUCAAGUCAGCAGUUGGGGCAGAUGGACUUUCCUUUUUCAGCUCCGUAUUUUGCCAAAGCCACGAUCUGGAAUCUACCCGCAGGGAAUGGAUUUCUUUCAAGAAAAGAAAGAAGCCCACAAAAAGCCAACCGUGCUAUUGAGGGAGUAGCAAUUUCUCUGCCCUUCAAUCAACCCCAAAAGAGAUGCUGCAUGCUUUAUCAGAUUUCCUAGCUUUAUUGGUUGCUGUCGCAAUGACUUUCUAAACACAGUCCCGUAAAGCACAGAUCUUGGCAUAGCAGGGAACUACCAUUCACAGUUUCCCAGUGAUGGAGAAAAAAUCUGAAAGACAGCGCUUCACUUAACCCCAGUUAUGAGAGUUGUGAUCGGAUCUGAGUUCUACCACAAUUCGUGAGCCUAAGAAACACCCAGCAACAUAAAACAGCCAUUUGUGGUGGUUUCUGGUGCUAACAGGAAAAAGGAUACCAGUUCUCCUCUUUCAUUGCCUUCCCUUCAGGGGAGUCCUGAAAAGAGUCCUUUGAAAGAGCUAAAGGAACCGGCACACGCUGAGAUUUUACUGGAGAGCAAAGCUUUGAACACUGAACAGGGACUGUUCAACCACACGUGAGACAAAGGGAAAAAGGCAUGCCUGUUUGUAGGCACGAGUUUAUGUGCACUGUGGGGUCAAAGGGGAUGGCGCAGGUGCCCCCAGGUAUCCCAGUGAAGUUGGAAGCAUAAGUUAAUUCCCUGACAAAUGAGAACUGAAAUCCACCCAUCACCUUUAAAAAGCCUUUACAAAGCAGCUUUUUUACUGGACGUUCCUGGCUAGUGUCACCUGUAAGGACAAUUCCUCCUUACGGAGACAAUGCUGGCUCUGCAAAUUGAUUUUAUGCACAGAAAUCUGCUGCUGCAUGUGCACGGGGUGUCACAGCCCAGCCAGCUGCUGGGCAGGGGAGCAGUGCCCGGGGCUCCAGCUGGAAGGCUCACCCUCUAAGAAAGAGAGAAAACAGCAGCCAGCAAAUGUCCCCUCCUUCCCCUAGCACUGCGUUCCAGAUCAGGAGAUGUCACGAGCUGUGUAACUCUCAGUAAUUGUUUGAUUACAUGCAUUAGUGUUAUCUGUUUGUAAAUACAGUGGGUCCGUAAUUCCAAAAAUUGAUUUUAUCCCAUGUGAUUCUAAAGACUGGGAGAAUAUAAAAGAGUAGUGGGUUUAGGGAGGCAAAACAUCCCUCCCAUCAACAUAACAGCUGCUCCUACAGUAACAAUGCAUGAACUGCUUUCAGGUAGGGUCCAGGAUGAAUAAAUGCAGCUACCACUUCGCUGUAGCUCUUCCUCCUUCACUGCAUGCAGGAUUUCCUCCUUGCCAAGCAAAUAAGAACUGCUCUCAACAUCUGUACCCUGCUGCAAGCAGAAGCCUGGAGAGGCUCUGUACAGCUCAUGUUUCAUUCCGCAUUAGCUUCUGCCAUCAUCUGUCAUUCUUCACUGACAGUGCCAACACCAGGCAUUUGUCCCUCAAGGUCCCUUUCUCUCCAUUAUUAAGGUGACUGCCCUUAGGGUCAUACAACAAAGCCAGAAGAAGCCUAGAGGUGUGGAGAACCUCUAUCCUGAGGGCCCUGCUCCUGCCAGCUACACUGGAGCCUGCUGUAUGGAUAGUAAUUUCUCUCCUUCAACCAAAGCUGCUCUGCUGUUGAGCUGGGCUGACUCAGCAUACUGGAAAGUGGGUUCAGGUCCACAGAACUCACAUUUCCAGUUGUAUCAGCAGAUUACAUGUUCCCAUGGAGCUCAGUACAGACAAGGUAUUCAUACUUCUGCAAGAAGAACUGAGGGGAGCCAGGCUUCAUGUCUACGAGCAAGCUAUUUG
ensembl:lncRNA